GCCCUGUGGCUCAGUUGGUAGAGCAUGGUGUUUGCAAUGCCAGCAUGGUGUGUGCAACACCAGGGUUGUGGGUUCAAUUCCCACAGGGGGCC
rnacentral:tRNA from 1 species